AUUGGAGGGCAAGUCUGGUGCCAGCAGCCGCGGUAAUUCCAGCUCCAAUAGCGUAUAUUAAAGUUGUUGCAGUUAAAAAGCUCGUAGUUGGAUUUCUGUUAAUAAUUUAUAUAAAAUAUUUUGAUGAAUAUUUAUAUAAUAUUAACAUAAUUCAUAUUACUAUUCUUUUUUUUAGUAUAUGAAAUUUUACUUUGAGAAAAUUAGAGUGCUUAAAGCAGGCAUAUGCCUUGAAUACUCCAGCAUGGAAUAAUAUUAAAGAUUUUUAUCUUUUUUAUUGGUUCUAAGAUAAGAAUAAUGAUUAGUAGGGACAGUUGGGGGCAUUUGUAUUUAACAGUCAGAGGUGAAAUUCUUAGAUUUGUUAAAGACAAACUAAUGCGAAAGCAUUUGCCAAGGAUGUUUUCAUUAAUCAAGAACGAAAGUUAGGGGAUCGAAGACGAUCAGAUACCGUCGUAGUCUUAACCAUAAACUAUGCCAACUAGAGAUUGGAGGUUGUUCCUUACUCCUUCAGCACCUUAA
rnacentral:rRNA from 1 species